GGGCGUGCUGAGCUACACAUGCAGUGAGCGGUAGCGGGAAGAGCUUGCUCUUUGCCGACGAGCGGCGGACGGGUGCGUAACACGUAGGAAUCUGCCUGGUAGUGGGGGAUAGCCCGGAGAAAUCCGGAUUAAUACCGCAUACGUCCUACUCUUUUUCGAAAGAGGGGGGAAAGCAGGGGAUCGGUUCCCCGACCUUGCGCUAUCGGAUGAGCCUGCCCCGGAUUAGCUGGUUGGUGGGGUAAAGGCCUACCAAGGCGACGAUCCGUAGCUGGUCUGAGAGGAUGAUCAGCCCCCCUGGGACUGAGACACGGCCCAAACUCCUACGGGAGGCAGCAGUGGGGAAUAUUGCACAAUGGGCGAGAGCCUGAUGCAGCCAUGCCGCGUGUGUGAAGAAGGCCCUAGGGUUGUAAAGCACUUUCAGUGGGGAGGAAAGGUUGACGGUUAAUACCCUUCAGCUGCGACGUUACCCACAGAAGAAGCACCGGCUAACUCCGUGCCAGCAGCCGCGGUAAUACGGAGGGUGCGAGCGUUAAUCGGAAUUACUGGGCGUAAAGCGUGCGUAGGCGGCGAUCUAAGUUGGAUGUGAAAGCCCCGGGCUCAACCUGGGAACUGCAUCCAAAACUGGGUGGCUGGAGUACGGGAGAGGAGUGUGGAAUUUCCUGUGUAGCGGUGAAAUGCGUAGAUAUAGGAAGGAACACCAGUGGCGAAGGCGACACUCUGGCCUGAUACUGACGCUGAGGUACGAAAGCGUGGGGAGCAAACAGGAUUAGAUACCCUGGUAGUCCACGCCGUAAACGAUGUCUACUAGUUGUCGGUUGUU
rnacentral:rRNA from 1 species